CCGUGGUAUUCUACCUGUGGACAGAUAAAGUGGACGUGCGUAUCGACGCCGCCGGCUGUCAGAAUGAGAUCGCGGCCAGCAAUCGCUUCCGUGUUGACGCCGAUGACCAUGUUGGGGUCGACACCGUCCAUUACGUCGGGGUUGCCCGCCUUGCCGAUCGCCCAGAUGCGGCCGUGCUUGAUGCCAACAUCCGCCUUGUAGAUGCCCGAGUAGUCGACAAUGACGACGUUCGUGAUGACCGUGUCCAGGACGUCAUUGGCGCAGCGGCCAGUGGCCUGGCCCAUGCCCUCGCGCAG
rnacentral:sRNA from 1 species